rnacentral:rRNA from 1 species
UGCAAGUCGAGCGGAUGAAGGGAGCUUGCUCUCUGAUUCAGCGGCGGACGGGUGAGUAAUGCCUAGGAAUCUGCCUGAUAGUGGGGGACAACGUUUCGAAAGGAACGCUAAUACCGCAUACGUCCUACGGGAGAAAGCAGGGGACCUUCGGGCCUUGCGCUAUCAGAUGAGCCUAGGUCGGAUUAGCUAGUUGGUGAGGUAAUGGCUCACCAAGGCGACGAUCCGUAACUGGUCUGAGAGGAUGAUCAGUCACACUGGAACUGAGACACGGUCCAGACUCCUACGGGAGGCAGCAGUGGGGAAUAUUGGACAAUGGGCGAAAGCCUGAUCCAGCCAUGCCGCGUGUGUGAAGAAGGUCUUCGGAUUGUAAAGCACUUUAAGUUGGGAGGAAGGGCAUUAACCUAAUACGUUAGUGUUUUGACGUUACCGACAGAAUAAGCACCGGCUAACUUCGUGCCAGCAGCCGCGGUAAUACGAAGGGUGCAAGCGUUAAUCGGAAUUACUGGGCGUAAAGCGCGCGUAGGUGGUUUGUUAAGUUGGAUGUGAAAGCCCCGGGCUCAACCUGGGAACUGCAUCCAAAACUGGCAAGCUAGAGUAUGGCAGAGGGUGGUGGAAUUUCCUGUGUAGCGGUGAAAUGCGUAGAUAUAGGAAGGAACACCAGUGGCGAAGGCGACCACCUGGGCUAAUACUGACACUGAGGUGCGAAAGCGUGGGAGCAAACAGGAUUAGAUACCCUGGUAGUCCACGCCGUAAACGAUGUCGACUAGC